rnacentral:rRNA from 1 species
GACGAACGCUGGCGGCGUGCCUAACACAUGCAAGUCGAACGGUGACGCGCCUUCCUUUUUGGCGGGUGUGGAUGAGUGGCGAAAGGGUGAGUAACACGUGAGUAACCUGCUCCUUUCUUCUGGAUAACCGCAUGAAAGUGUGGCUAAUACGGGAUAUUCUGGGUCUGUCGCAUCAUGGGUUUGGGAAAGAUAUUGUUUCGGUGUGGGAUGGGCUCGCGGCCUAUCAGUUUGUUGGUGGGGUGAUGGCCUAGCAAGGCGGUGAGGAGCAGCCGGCAGGAGAGGGUGGACGGUCACGGUGGGGAUGAGAGACGGCGAAGCCUACGAGGGGAAGCAGCGGUGAGUAAUAGUGCACGGUGGGAGGAAGGCUGCUGCAGCGACGCCGCGUUAGAGAUGGAGUUCUGCGGGUUGUGAACCUCUUUCGCGAGUGAAGCAGAGCUGCUUAGUUUGUGGGUGUGUUGACGGUACCUGGAGAAGAAGCGCCGGCUAACUACGUG